rnacentral:rRNA from 1 species
AACGUAGGUUCCGAGCGUUAUCCGGAUUUACUGGCGUAAAGCGCGUUCAGGCGGUUUGGCAAGUCGGGCAUGAAAUCUCUCGGCUCAACCGGGAGAGUUGUCCGAUACUGCUGGACUUGAGGCAGGUAGAGGGUGGUGGGAAUUCCGGGUGGUAGUGGUGAAAUGCGUAGAUAUCCGGAGGAACACCAGUGGCGAAAGCGGCCACCUGGACUGUACCUGACGCUGACACGCGAAAGCUAGGGGAGCG